AACGGAGGGUGCAAGCGUUGUUCGGAAUUACUGGGCGUAAAGCGCACGUAGGCGGAUUUGUAAGUCAGGGGUGAAAUCCCGGGGCUCAACCUCGGAACUGCCUUUGAUACUGCAAAUCUCGAGUCCGAUAGAGGUGGGUGGAAUUCCUAGUGUAGAGGUGAAAUUCGUAGAUAUUAGGAAGAACACCGGUGGCGAAGGCGGCCCACUGGAUCGGUACUGACGCUGAGGUGCGAAAGCGUGGGGAGCAAACAGG
rnacentral:rRNA from 1 species